rnacentral:rRNA from 1 species
UGGGGAAUAUUGCACAAUGGGCGCAAGCCUGAUGCAGCCAUGCCGCGUGUAUGAAGAAGGCCUUCGGGUUGUAAAGUACUUUCAGUCUGGAGGAAGGUGGUAAGUUUAAUAACCUUAUCAAUUGACGUUACCGACAGAAGAAGCACCGGCUAACUCCGUGCCAGCAGCCGCGGUAAUACGGAGGGUGCAAGCGUUAAUCGGAAUUACUGGGCGUAAAGCGCACGCAGGCGGUUGAUUGAGUCAGAUGUGAAAUCCCCGGGCUUAACCCGGGAAUUGCAUCUGAUACUGGGCAGCUAGAGUCUUGUAGAGGGGGGUAGAAUUCCAUGUGUAGCGGUGAAAUGCGUAGAGAUGUGGAGGAAUACCGGUGGCGAAGGCGGCCCCCUGGACAAAGAAUGACGAUCAGGUGCGAAAGCGUGGGGAGCAAACAGG